rnacentral:lncRNA from 1 species
UGGAUGGUCCGUUCCCGCCUGGGAGCAGCAGAGGGCAAUGUGCUUUGACUCCAGCGGAGGACAGUGGCGACCGCUGAGGGGCUGGAGGCUAUGGUGUUGGAGAGGCCAGUCUAAGGCCAUGGGGAAGAUCAGGGUGGCUAGCGAAUGUCGCUAGCAAGGUCAACAAGGAGAGGGGAGCCCGAUAUCUUGCGAAUUUAGGAGGGGGAAGCCGACGGCCAUGGCGGCAAUGGAGGGUGAAUUGAGCUUUGGGAGCACGAUGGAGAGGUCAGGGAGGGCCAUGCGAG